rnacentral:ncRNA from 1 species
GCGGGCUUGGAUUUAUGAUGCUGUGGGCCCGCAUCAGCGCGUCUAAGCUGGUGAUCACGGGGAUCUUUGCACGCCAGCAAGUAUAGCCGCGUCUGCUUAAAGUAGGCCGCCAGAGGAAGCUCGCAUCGCUUCUGGUGCUCCGAAUUUCAUAUAGCAGCACGCGCCGCGCGCUUCAAAGGGGUGAGUCGUGUUGGACGGCUCAGAAAGCGCGGAACGCCA